GAUGAAGAACUCAGCGAAAUGCGAUAAGUAAUGUGAAUUGCAGAAUUCAGUGAAUCAUCGAAUCUUUGAACGCACAUUGCGCCCCCUGGUAUUCCGGGGGGCAUGCCUGUCCGAGCGUCAUUACAACCCUCAAGCUCAGCUUGGUAUUGGGCCCCGCCGACCCGGCGGGCCCUAAAGUCAGUGGCGGUGCCGUCCGGCUCCGAGCGUAGUAAUUCUUCUCGCUCUGGAGGUCCGGUCGUGUGCUCGCCAGCAACCCCCAAUUUUUUUCAGGUUGACCUCGGAUCAGGUAGGGAUACCCGCUGAACUUAAGCAUAUCAAUAAGCGGAGGA
rnacentral:misc_RNA from 1 species